ensembl:lncRNA novel transcript
GAGGAACACUCUGCUGCUCAGGCCCCCGACUGAUAAGUGAUUGAGACUGUCUGUGAAUCAUGGAUACUUGGACAUGCUGAGCCUGGGGAAGAAUCACCCUGGACUGAUGCCCGAACCGAAUAGGCCUGAUCCAGCUGGCCUUUCCAGGUCUCAAGUACAAACCGAUGGCACGGAUCUCUCUGGACACCACAGGGAUGUGGAGGCGAGAGUGAAGUCUUGGAGCACACAGAUGAUACUUCAAGUCCUGAUUCUGCCACUUGCUCAGUGGGUGACCUUGGAGAUGGAAUUUCACCAUGUUGCCUGGGCUUGUCUCGAACUCCUGAGCUCAAGUGAUCUGCCUGCCCGCCUCAGCCUCCCAAAGUGCUAGGAUUACAGAUGAAUGGAAAAAACGAUGGGUGCAGUCUAAACAUCAGCCGGAUUAUGGUAAAUUUCAGCUCGCUGCAGGAUAAUUUUAUGGAGACAAAGAAAAAGAUAAAGGUCUCCAAACCAGUGAACAUGCCAAGUUUUAUGCCUUCUCAACCAGGUUGAAGCAUUCAGCAAUGAGAAUGAGACCUUGGUGUUUCAGUUUUCAGUAAAACACAAGCAAAGGAAGUAUUGUGGUGGCGGAUAUGUAAAACUCUUUCCUGCCACCCUGAACCAGGAGGAUAUGCACUCAGGAUCCAAGUAUCACAUCAUGUUUGGCCCUGACAUUUGUGGCUUUGGCAACAACAAAGUACAGGUCAUCCCUCAUUACUGAGAGAAAUACCAUGAGAACAAGACCAUCAAGUGCAGGGCUGGGGACAGAGUGGGCCAGACAUGGCCUUUGACUUCACAGAACUCACAGUCAAUGAAGGUAAGAGUCAAGCAAAGUGACUACCUAGUAUGCUGGGCAUCUGUGGGAGCACAGAAGAGGACCCCUACCCAACCUGGAGGCUAAGGAAAUACUUCUUAGAUCAAUAAAGACCCUCACCUGUACACUCUGAUUAUUCGCCCCAAUGCUACUUAUGAGGUUAAAAUUGACAACCAGCAGGUGGCAGCUGGGGCUCUGGAGGAGGACUGGGACUUCUUGCCUCCCAGGAAAAUAAAAGACCCUACGCCCAGAAACCAAAGAAAUGGGAUGAACGCCUGCACAUAGAGGAUCUGGAAGACAAGAAACCUGACAUCAGAGGGCAUUUGGCUGGGAAGCAGGUGGGAUCUCAGCUGUGGAGAUAGGAGAAGGAGGCUGGGAAUGAUGGAGCAGAGACUGGGGACAUCAAUCCCUCAAGGAGUUGUUCAGCUAGAUAUUGUUUUCCAAAGAGGCAUGGAGGGAAGAGGGCAGCCACUCACCUUUGUUGGGGAUCCAGCAGCCUCUGUGAACAAUGUGUUAUGAUCCCUCUUUUGUGGAUAAGGAAACUGAUGCUUAGAAAAUGAAGUAACUUGCCCAAGCAUACAUGCGUUAGAACCAAGAUUUGAACCUACAUCUUUUUGACUCUUAAGUUAUCAAUAUGGGGAAUGUGUGGAGUAUACUCAUUGGCUCAUUAUUAUUAUUCUGGAAAGCUGUACUGGAUAUAGCUAUGAAUAGAACAACCCUUGCCCUCUAGGGAUUCUGAAUAUAGUAAGGGAGGCAGAUAAGAAAACAAAGAUCAAAAUAUGUGAUCAGUGCUGAGAGCCAGGGAGGCAAGCCAGUGAGAGCCCAAAAGCGGAUCCCAGCCCAGCCUGAGUUGAGGUGUAGGCAGUGGUCUGAGAAAGAGAAGGAAAUGCUUGAGUGAGUGAGUUAACCUAGGAGUUGGAAACAUAAACUCUGGGGUCAGGCUGAUAUGGGUUGGAGCACCACCUUUUUCUAACUAUGGGACCCCAUCCUACUAGCAGUUAACUCUGCACAAGGAAUAUAACUGCUGUGAAAGUCAACUUCACAAACAGGUAUUAUUUUAAUACUUACGUGUGAAGGUUACUGUGAAGAUUAAAUGAGCUAAUAAAAAAUACAU